rnacentral:rRNA from 1 species
AUGAAAAAAAGAGCUUGGCCCGGAAACCCCUGUUGCUCCUUUUGCAACCAAUUGGAAACAACCCCGCACUUGUUGUUCCUGUGUCUGGUGUCUAGAGUAGUUUGGAGAACUGUAGGGGCUCUUCUUGGGACGGAUUGCUGUCCUAAUUCCAUCUGGCAGUAUUACACUUGGAUGUACAGCUUCCUGCCUGGCUUUGAUAAAAUUUAUACUGUGGGCUUGGCAGCCAUAUGCUGGGCCAUUUGGCUAGCCCGGAACAGAGCUACUUUUGAACACAAAUGGAUUAAUUCUCCUUUUGAGAUCGUGUUCACAGCUUGCGCCUUUCUAAUGUAUUGGGCAGGUCUUCAGAAACCUGGGAUGGAAGAGAUGGUGAAGGGAGCGGAGAUGCUGAAAGCGAAUACCACUCAGAUGAUGCUGCUGUGUGGACCUCCUCCGGCGACAAACACGGAAGGGCGCGACUGA